UACGGAGGGUGCAAGCGUUAUCCGGAUUCACUGGGUUUAAAGGGUGCGUAGGCGGAUAAGUAAGUCCGUGGUGAAAUCCUGCAGCUUAACUGCAGAACUGCCGUGGAUACUAUCUAUCUUGAAUGUCGUGGAGGUUAGCGGAAUAUGUCAUGUAGCGGUGAAAUGCUUAGAUAUGACAUAGAACACCUAUUGCGAAGGCAGCUAACUACGCGGUGAUUGACGCUGAUGCACGAAAGCGUGGGGAUCAAACAGG
rnacentral:rRNA from 1 species